rnacentral:sRNA from 1 species
GGGAAGGAUGAGAAGCUUCGACUAAGGUUCGACUCGAGCGAAGCGAGAGAACGUUGCCGCAGGCAACGGCCCGAAGGGCGAGGCGCUUUAGCGCCGAGUAAUCCUUCCCCCACCACUG